UACGUAGGUGGCAAGCGUUUGUCCGGAUUUACUGGGCGUAAAGAGCGCGCAGGCGGUCGUUCAAGUCGAGUGUGAAAGCCCACGGCUCAACCGUGGAGGGUCAUUGGAAACUGGAGAACCUGAGUACAGAAGAGGAAAGCGGAAUUCCACGUGUAGCGGUGAAAUGCGUAGAGAUGUGGAGGAACACCAGUGGCGAAGGCGGCUUUCUGGUCUGUAACUGACGCUGAGGCGCGAAAGCGUGGGGAGCAAACAGG
rnacentral:rRNA from 1 species